GAUCAUGUACGAGUCAAUACCAUUAAAUAUCAUAAUUAGGUCCGGCAAACACAGCGUGUGCGACUUAUCCUCCUAUGGGAGUGCGCAUCAUGAAUGUAGUCAUUUUGAAAUCGUUGUACGAUUAUCAGUUAUGAAUCAAAAUAUAAAACUAUAUAUUCACAUACAAUUAUAUCAACUACAAGUGCGUAUCAAAAUAUUUAUGUAUGUCUGAGUUGAGUUUGUUUUACUAAGGUCUAAUGGCAACACAACGAAACGUGCCAUAUUAAAAAAUAUAAAUUUCUUCAAAUAUAAAACCAACCUCACGCAAUAAGAUUUUUUAAAAUUUUAUUUUAGCAUUAGUCUUGAUUGCAAAGUGCACACAAACACCCAUAAGCAGUCGAUUUUAUUAUAUAAUAGGUGCAUUUUUUAUGAAGAGCGUACAAUGCAGUUUAGACUUAGCCGCUGUGUCAUAAUCCGUGGCACUGGGGGGUACGCUCUUUAUUUUGGACUGGACACAAAAGGAAUAGUACACAGUACCCUUUGACCUUUUAAUCCCCUUUGGCCGGAAGAAAAUCCACAAUCAGAACAUUAAAAAAAAUUAAAAUAAAUAAAUAACCCAAUUUAAAUAUUUGGGGCGCUUUUUUAACAUCAUAACCACCUACAAACAACACAAAAAUUACACAAUUGGUAGGUAUAGGUAUCAUGAAAACAUAAACGUUUUUGAAUUAUUAACCAACCUUUUGUGGCCUUGGAGAUAGAGGGGUUGGAUUUAUUCAGUCUUUGCUAGGUUGAUAACUCACAACGAUCAUUGACACAAAUCAGUCAUUUACAUAUUUGCUGGGCGGACUUAGUGCACAGCUGACGGGGCUCACCUGCGGCUGCAUCGGUGCCACACCUACCCGAUUCAUUUUAGAUAUGUUUAAGUUAAAUGAAAACAGUUUGCAAAAGCCAGUUCAUUGUUUAUUUUCUUAAAAUCUAAAAUUACGAUUCACCUCCCUAUCAUGAUGCCAGUAGACAAAGGGAAUAAGAAACCAAAUAAGACGGCAAUAACGACAAAGCACUGCAUUCUUCUAUGCUGAAAAACUAAGACCCAACGUACUGCGCUCAAGGCGGAGCUUUCCUGAAUGCACUGGGGUUUGAGAUCCGUCCUCUAAAUCACUGCAGGAAGAAGAUCCCACUGAUCAACAGAGGCAGCGACUAAAUGGGGAUCGACAAAACCCGGCAAAAUCUGGCGGAUCGGCAACACUGCAUGAUGGCUAACACAAACCGAGAGCUGUUGCUACAGGACAGCAUUAUGCCCAGACUACACUUCACGACCUUGCCUUGUACCGCACCUGCACUAAGAGCACUCACUUCAGGAGAAGUGACCGUGUCUGUGUUGUGUGUUAUUCUUUGUAUUAUUAUUUCAGGACUGAACUCUGUGGUUUAUAAGCUGGCAAUACACAUUGUUGUGUAGAGCCAGCCUUACUAUUUAACCGGUUACAAAAC